rnacentral:lncRNA from 1 species
AAGAACAGCCAGAAUAUCAAUCAAGAUGUAUGAAUGCGCCUUAAUUAUGCCUGGUUCUUUUGCUGUAUUAUUAUUGGAGAAACUUUCCGAACGUACAGCUGAACAGUUCAUAUAGCUAUAUACUUGUAAAAAGAUGUUCAACAAAUAACAUAUAUCUGUCAACGAUCUCAGUGAAAGAGCUGCUAUCUUCAAGUUGUUGUCCAACCUCAGACACUUCAUGUCCUCGUUAAUUAUAGGGAUGUAAAGGAACAAAGGAUCCACCAGAACAGCAGAUGCUAUAAAAAAGACAUUCCACUUUCGAAUGAAUGACCCCUUAGGAUCAACAAGUUCCUUCAUCGUUAGCCAUUUCGCGCUGCUUGAUCCUUGUGCUGCAUCUGUAGUAAGGGUGUUUCUUGUUCCGGUCUCUGCAUUUGAUUCGAUAUUGCUGGACAAGAGACAAAAAUAAAACGAUGAAAUUUGGACUCUGAGUAAUCAGCUGAAAAUAGUGAAAUAGGACUACUGAUGAUAUACUAGGCAAGCAGAUCGACUCGUAGUAAAUCCUGUUAAGCUCGUCUUACAGAUAUAUAAUUUGUUCUUCUUUGAUACAGAAAUUAUUACUUUGGUACAGAAGAAAACAUAAUUAAAACAAUAUUCGAGUAAAGAAUCCAACCUUGCAGCUUUCUCUUUGUCUAUGACUGAAGUUAUUAUCUCGGGGUCGGCCAUAACUCGAUCGGACUCAACCUUGAAGCUUUCUAAAGCUUGGGGAUCGAGAUAUCGACAUAGAUGACAAUGCUAGCCAGGAGCUUACAGGAGGCAGGAAAGAGUACUACUAAUUCAACUUGCAAAACAAAUCCCUACCCGUUGUGGGCCGAUUCAACUUGACUAAUGACUACAAGACUUGCUAUGCGCGCACUAGCUUAGUGUCUUCUGGCUUUAUGCAUUUUUCAUUGAUCGAGAGUCUUCAGAGGACCAGAAAUUUGUUGGAUAUCAAGUAGGAGUAUUACAUCCAAAAACCAAAAUAUCUACUGGGAAUACAUUAAGAUGAAACAGCUUGCAAGCAAGCAUUGGAGCACGUCAUCAGGAUCAAUUAAUGGCCUCCAUCUGAAUUAUUUGAGCCUCCGCUUACUGCAUUAUUUGGGGGACCUCUUUCUGUAUGAACAUGACUGAAAAAUCUAUCAAAUUCAAACAAUUCGGCAAAGACUCCCGUGCUAACCAUACGACUAAUUAGUUCUAGUUACGUCAGCUCAUUACUGAUGAACUAGCGUUAAUGACGUAGUGUCAAUGACGUGGACCAAGUGAGGUACCUGUUCUAUACAUCUUAUCAUAUGCAAACAAAAAGAGAGAAGUUUGCCGGAACACUGUGGUAUAGCUAUCUCAACAAAAGUCUAUCUAGCAGUGUACAGUAGGAUCAAUUUAAAGUUAUAUUCACCCACCGGCAUGUCUAACAAAAAGUCAUGACAUGCUAGGAAUAAAAGUUAAAAGAUCAAAAUUCUUCAAGGAUUGUUAGAGUACUCUACCCAACACCUAACCGUGGUCGGUCAGGAUGCUAGGAACUUGUUCAUGUCAGAAUUUGGAAAGUUAACCGUAAGACGUGUUGAAAAGUUAAAAAGCCACGACAGACUCUCACCUUUCAACGCUAUGAGAAACUCAACAUCAAGUAAAACACCCACUCAUGGUCAAGUAAUGGACCUUGAAGGCCAAAGUCGUACAUGUGACUUCCUCUUUCAACCCGCAUUCCUAGAGCGCCGGCCAACACGCAUUCCUCGAUUGUCAACUCGCAGUCCUUGAGUGUUAACGACCAAAGUCUGGAAGGACAGUCCCUCUAGCCCCAUGCCUCUUAAACUUACAAUGUCGUAACAAUUUGGUGGACUUCCAUGAGACAACUUGAGAGCCUGUAAAAUAUCAAGAGUAAUAUCAAUAUAUAAAGGUACAUAAAUAUACUUACAUUAAGAGACUAGCUUCACUCACUUACCCAUGUAGGUGUCUAGAGCCCAUGGCUGGUCUUGUCAUGAUUCCUGAACAGUAUCACAAGAUGGUACAUAUGUGUAAGAAAAACAAUGGUAGCAUUAUGCUAAAGAGUGUUGGCACGUCCAAAAGCAGUGGCAUGAACAUGCCUUAGAAACAAGAGCCAUGCUUCAAUCAACAACCCACAACCACUCUCAAACUCUAUAAAAGGAAAACCCUCCUCGUUCACAAGGAGGACAGACUCUCAUUCUCCAAAAGGAAAAGCUCCACCACCCUUCCCUUCUCUAAUAUCAUCAUCAAAGGAAAAGUUCGGCAACCCAUCAAUGUUCAAGCUGGGAGUCAUUCUCUAGCUAGGCCUCAUCAACAAAUCUCAAUCCAACUCCUCAAGCUAACGAUCAUCCGGCAAAGUCAGUCAACAAAUCACAAGAAGAGAUGAGUCCUCACCAACGAAUGUUAGCCCCACAACGAUCCACAUCGGAUUUCAACGGAGACCUCUUUGACUGAAGUGUACACCGAAAUUUUGCAUCAACAACACUUUACACUCUUAUUCCAGAUUUUGACCUUUUUGUUACCAACCCAAUAUAAACUUUACUCACAAUAUAUACCUAGCCACCUUUCACUUUCACAGUACUCAGCACAGUCUUUGUCACAUUUCCAGUACUUCUGCAGUAAAAAAAAAUACCAUACAGUUUCUGGGACAUUCUCAUAACUUCUGAAGUAAUUAAUGCAUGUAUAUAUAUCAAGGGAUUCCAUGCUGAGGGCCAAGCUAGCCAUGUCUGUAUGUACAUUUUCAAACGAAUAUUAUCCUACAGGUACUACUUUAAUAUCUGCUCAAUUAUUCAACCAAAAGUAGAAAAUAGAAUCUUUUUAAUCCAGUAAUUUUCUCGAAGGACAUUGGUGACUUCAUCUGCAUUGCAUGGGGGAUGAACAUGAUUAAAGAAAUUAACCAAGAAUAUGCAUGGAGUCAAGUAUUCGGAAUUGUAAGGAGUGUUGGGCCAUUUAGUGGGAUUAACUUAUGGACAUAAUUAAGGAUUUUGAUGGGAAAAUUUCGUCAAUACAAAACUUGUUACAGGAAUGAGGUAUCUUCUUGCGAAUAUUUCUUCAUUUGAAAACUUUAGAUAAGACUCUUAUAAAUACUGAUUAGGUGAAUCCCGAAAUUCAGGACAUUAGAUAGAUCAUAUGGCAGGUAAUUAAGGACAGUAAGGACUUCAAUAUGACAGAUGUUACUACCAUGAAAGAGAGGAAAGUAGGUCUAGAAGGUAAAAGUUACAGUGGACGUUUUGCAAAAUGUCUGUUUGUUGCCAAGUUAGGCAUGAAAAGCAUUUUGUGAAUAUUGUCCGCUUUGAGCGAAAAUCACAGUAUCAUAUAUAAGUUAAAUAAACCUUUUUUGAGCUCCUUUUUGGCUAUGAUACUGUGAAUCUUGUCUGCUAGUUAAACCUUCAGUUUCGGAUUUUUCAGGAAUAUGUAUUUUUCCCUGUGAUACUGCAGAUGAUAUCUCCAGGUAAAUGAAUGCAUAUAUGGUACGCUCUUCAUUCUCCUGAGCCUGAGAACCUUCUGCAAAUUCUUUUUCCCCUAUAGUUAAAGCAUAUGUUAGCAACAAAGCGCACAAUGGACAUUUUGCAAGCCUCUUCCUCUUUCUUCGAGCCUGAAAAGUAAAAGCAUAUGUUAGCAACAAAGCGCAUAUAUCAUAGGUUACAGUGAAAGGGUUACAAGAGAGCUCACAAUGGACAUUUUGCAAGCCUCUUCCUCUUUUCAAUUUCAGACUAGCUGGCUUCUGCAUAAAAGACCUUGUGUCCUCAAAAAGUUCAAAUUCAAGGCUUUCCAAAGGAGAACUGCCACUUUCCAUUGUAGACUUCGACUCCGUGGACCUCCAAACUUCAUUAAUCUCAGGAAGCUGAUGUGACUCGGAUUUCUUGAAUCCUUUGUUUACUAUAGACAACUCCUCAGGAUCCAAGACCCCUAUGUACAAGUACGAAACCAGAAAUCUAUACAGUUCCAAGCUGUUGAUAUUUGAUAACAAGCCAAAGAAUAACUGUUAGAUACCCCAAUUAACUCAUACCUGGGCUUUUGUAAAAAGCAUUAUCCCAAGCUAAGCUCUUUCGGUAACUACAGCUCUCAAAUUUUCUUGUUCUUUCAGGUUCCAAAGACUCCGAAGGCAAUAGUAUCUCGUCCUCAUUCCCAAGUAGGUUAAUUGCAUCGCCUGUAGCUCCAGAACUCGUAGUCUGAAGCAGCUCUUCAGGGUCCAACACUCCUGAAAAUGUGGAUUUAGGCAGUGAAUAAAAAGCAACUGAGACACUUUGUUAUAUGUAUUUGAUGAGUCUCAUAAAAGAGUACCUGGACUAGUGAAGAAGGCACUGUCCCAAGCCCAACUCUUGCGGACAUUAAACGUGGAUUUGGUUUCUGAAUGUUGGGUGUCUUGUGGACUCACAUGGUCGAGUAGACUAAACCCAUCAAGCUUCUUUCUGUCAUCUGAGUUCCAUUUGAAGCAAUUUGUUCAGCAAUAUUAAAAUUCAUGAACAUAUGAAGGAAACACUUAUGGACACAUUGGCUCGAGUGCCUCUCAUAACAAAGUAACAAACCCAUUUGGCAUCUUUUACUGAAUUCAUGUUCAUACUCUUGUGAGCAGAAUUUUGUAGACUAAUCGAAGCAUGAUCAUCAAAGUUUAUGAAUUAACAAGACCUUUAAGAAUUUCUACUCAGGAAUGUAGCACCUGAAAACUGAUUGCUUCGAAAGUCCUAAGAAAUUGAAAGAAUGAAGAUAGAAAUGAACUUCUUGAUAAUCCCUAGAGAGUGAGAGAUACCUGGAAAGCCUUGCUCUUGAAAAGACAUAGACAAUGGUUCUUGUCUUCUUGAAAGAGAGUGAGACAGUGAGUUCCCGAGGGAAAACUCAAAAUAACAAGACAAAAGUUGUGGUUUCGAUAGAGUGAUUAUUCCGAAAAUGAAACGCCUGAUUUAACAUUUAUGAGAAAAUGGAAACGCUAAUUCUGUUGUAUUGGCCUUAAUCAUGACUUUUCAAAUUUUUAAGAUUACAAUUAGUUCUUUCGGUCAAAUUUUAUUCCAAUGUAAACUUUCAACAUAUAUAUAACCAUGGAUCCGGCUCCUCUAAACUGAGGAACCCGUGAAUUUAUAUAUGUAAAUUUUAUAAAAUCUAGUUAUGUUUAAUCUAUUAGUCCAAAGAAUUGACAUGUCAUUCUUCCACAAAAUUUUGUCUUCAUGAUUUUGUCGAAACAUGAGAAACUGUCGUUAACUCUAAAAAGAAAAGACCAAUCAGAAUUAAGUACAAAAUAUAUGAGCUAAUAGAAUUAAUCCGGACCACCCCCACCCGUACCCUGAUUUUGGCAGAGCAAACCAACUUGCUCCAAACAAAACAGAGUACUUUCUUUGUGGGUAUCAGAGUUCAUAUCUGACUCGUGAUCCGGGUCAACAAUUAACUCUCCUUCUAAAUCCGCCAAAUCUAUAGCAUAUGCUGCAUUUAGAACCUGCAACACAAGUGAUGGUUUCUCUUUUCCACAUACUAUAUAUUACGCCUGACUAGAGGCGGAGCCAGAAUUAUAGAUUAAGGGGGGCGAGUUACAAUAUCAAAAGGUAAUUAACUUUUGUAUAUUAGACAUCAUUGUUGCUAAAUUGAAAAAAAAAAACAAAGGUGAAAUUUGGAAUACAAUAAAUAUAUAGAGAAAGAGAGAAAUAAGUUCAUCACUUACAAUGUACAAAAUACAAUGUGAAAAGAAAUUAUUCAUUUUACGAAUAGGGAUAUGAUAAAAUUUCAUUAACGUACGAGAAAUAAAUUAGAUAAAUUAUACUUAUUAACAACAAAUGGUGUUUAUGGUUUAAUAGUAAAAAUUGGCCAAACCUUUUAAAUUAGGAUUUUUUUACUUCUAAUAAUCAUAUCAAACCUUUUGAUAACUAAUGUAUAAUUCAUAAGUUGGAAAAAAUUACAGGGUGCCAUGGCACCCAAUGGCCACAAUUAGGGCUGGCAAUUUAGGCCAUGUCGAAACCAACCAACCGUAUUAACCUACUCAAGACUCGGUAACUGACUUACUUGAUACGGUAUACCGUACCGGUCUUGGUAACAUGAUUUGUACUUGGUAUUGAAAUUUUCAUAUCAUCGGUAUACCAUACUAACCAUAUAUGUGUACUUAUACAAAAUUACACUCGUAUCUAUGUAGGAAACGAGAAUUGAACCUCUAACAUAUUACAAAUAACCUUCGCUCCCAACCACUGAAGCACAAUACGCCUAUUUUAUAUUUAUAACAUCCUACAUAUAUAAAGAAUACAAAAUGUUAAGAAUCCAUUGCGGAAGUGAGACUCGAACUUUAAACCUCUUCCAAACAACUCUCACUCUCAACUACUAAAGCAUAAGACGCUAUUAUUAUAAUAUAUGUAUUGUUUUAUAUUUAUAACAUCCUAGCAUAGAAGGAAAGGAGAGCAGCGGCUUCUCUUAACUCAUAUGCAAAAUGAUCUUGUCCGGUGGCGGCCUUAGGUCAAGGCUGGCCUCUUGGCCAUGCCAAUACCUCAUGGUUUUGCUAUCGGACGGGAUUUGAAAUUUGACCAACAGCUUGAGAGAGGAGGACCGGCGAGAGUUGUUGGUUAAAGGUUUUCUAGGGCAGCUGGAUUGUAAGGCAUGAUUGGAUUCGCCGAUUGCUUUCUUGAGUUUUGCUUUUUCAUCUGAAAUUUCCAGAUCUUGUGGCUCACAGUAAGGCUAAGACGGUUGGGCAGAUUGAUGAUGGUCGUGAGGAUGCAGCGGGCUUGGAAAUUGCUGGUCUUUAUGUAGCUGUUGUGGAUCUUGUCAGACUGUGAUGGUGACGUUGUUGGGCAACUCUAUGGAUUUCGUGGAGGUAGUGACGGAGAUGAUGAGACGGUGUAGGACGGGUAGCGGUCGGCGUGGGAGGUUGGUUUUGGUGGUGGCUGGCACGGGUCAACCUUCAACUGGGCUUUCUGGGUUGUUUUGGUUUCUAAGUUGGGCUAGGGUUUUUGUCAUAGUCCAAUUUUAAGUAUUUAGCUAGUCUAUUUACAGUAAUUCCUUUUGUUAGGAACCUAAGCAUUUGUGUGUCUAGUAUUUCUUGCUUUUCUGUUAGAAAUAAGUGAACAGAAUCUUUGUAAUGAACGGUGCUAGCAUGCCACGUCCUUAACUUGCCCAAAUGUUUGGCAAGGGAAGACAUGUAUCCGUGUCAUUCUAGCUUGAGUAUCAAUGAAAUUGCCGUAUGGCUUUACCUGUCAAAAAAUGUUUAUAACAUCCUAUAGAUAUAAAUAUAAUUAAAAUAUAAAAUGUUUAAAUUUUGGCUAGAGGUAUGUUUCGAAAAAUAUGACCACAUACCACCAGUCGACCAAAGCUAUCAUUGCAUUGUAUUUGUGCAAAAAUUAUAUUUAUCAAUUUAGUUUUUGGGCCACAAUCUAAACUUAGUAGAGGCCUAUUAUCAACCGAGUAUCAACCGUACCAACUAAGUCGGUAUACCAACUUUGGCAGUUGGUUUUGGUAAAGAAUUUUACCUACCAAUCAUAAGUUGGUUAGUACAUGAUAUUAAUAAAUAAAGUCGGUAUACCUACCAAUGCUAGCCCUAGCCUCAAUGCAACUCCGCCCAUGCGCCUGACUGCCCUUUCCCACUUGACUUCACUCUAGUGACUCCACUUUUUACUUUGCUUGACUUCUUUUUUGUUCUACUUAGCCCCUAACUUGAUGGGUGCACCUCUACCUCAUGCAAAUCUGAUACCUGCUCCUCUGCCUCAAGCCAAUCUGAUUCGUGCACCUUUUCCUCAUCCCGAAUACUCUCUUGCCAAUCCAAACUCUCCUCCUCGCAAUCCAAAACGACCGUGGCUCGCAAAAUCUGUUUAAGAACUGAUGGUCGUUGCCUAGCGCUGGCGCAUCUCUUGUUGUAUGAAUCUGAAGCCUCCAUCUCCAUUUCAUCAGAGCAUUAUCAGGCCCGGCCCGAGCGCAAUGUGGCCCGUGCGACCGCACGGGGCCCAGACCAACAAAAGCACAUCAAUGCCCAGCCUUCGUCCUUCUUUGUCACGUUGCUAAUGGCCAUUCGUCCUUCUUUGUCAGUUGUCACGUUGCUAAUUGGCCUUAAUUGGCCCAAUAUAGCCUUUGUGAUUCGAACCUUGUUUGCUCAAGAUGAAUACAUGCAACACAACCAUUCCAACCACGCACCAACUUGUUCUCUAUCUUCAUAUUUUUAUGGUUAACAUAUACCUCAUGGUUUAUUUUUUAUUUUUCAUUGGCUUGUUUUAUAGUAAUUAAUCAGAUUAAAUAUCUUAAAUAUAAACUAUUAAUGUUAUAUAGGAGAACUUGUAAAGUACUAAGGUUUAAUUAUCUUGUUCAAGAAAAAGAUUAGAAAUAUCUAUUGAAUUAUGAUUCGUGAUGUAUCUAACAUAUACUAAGACUAAUAGACAUUUCUUAAAGAUAUAAGGAAUUCACGUUAUUCUACAAGUUUCUAGAGUUUUUAUUGAAGUUUUCCGUUCUACUCUUGAUCAAGCACUUCAAACUGUGAAUCUAUCAGCAACAUGAUGCUGAUAAAGGAAUGGUGUACGAACUCUUGAGGAGAUGGUAUUAUUGGAGUACUCCAGUUCAUCGUUUAACUCUUGGACCUCCACCUCUGCUAUCAUGCCCUGCUCUUUAAAGGCCAUACUCACUUCAUGAAUUAACUUUUCCAUAAUUUGACGUUUUAUUGCCGCUCUUCUCUUGGGAGGUUUGAGUUUCUUGUUUGAUACCAAAGUUGGUUUUUUGAGAGGUGGUUUUCUAUCCAGAUCCGUCUGACUCUGACCCGUCUUUUUGCCCACCUGCAAGUUGAAUUUAGAGGCCACAUUCACCAAGUCAUCGGCCAUGAGAACUAGAGCUUCAACAUCCCCCACAGCCUCAACGGUUACGUCCGAUUUGGGUAAUGUAUACUCCCCCGUCAAGGAGGUUCGUGACAACCAUUCAAAAAGUUCAUGAUCUCCAUAGUGCUGUCCUGAAUAACAGAAGUGGUCAUCGCACUUGAUCUUUCUGAUGCGUAACAGUCCACUCACAAUGAGAAACAUCUUAUCAAAUUUGUUCUCCCCACUGGUAAUAAUAUCCCGCGACUUGUCAUUGUAUUUCAUCAGCUUAAACUUCUCGCAAAUUUCUUUCAACCCUUCUUCGUCCACAUUUUGAAGAUUCGGCACCUAAUUAAGAUUGAAAAGAGUUAAAAUAAUCUUAUAGACGAAUUGAAAUUAAGGAAGCUAGGACAUAAUCUUACCUUACCUGCUUCAGCCAAGUGAUCAACGGAUCAAAUGGGGAUAGCUUGUCCUGAACAUCCAUUGGGAGAUUGGCAGGCAGCUUCAUGAACUGCGUCAUGGAAUUAUUAGAGAAUAUGUUUCUCAAGUCAUGGACUCUGAGUUCACGAACCUCAACAAUGACGGUGUUGGCGGGGACCUUUACGCUACAGGUUGACAAGGGUACAUUGGCAGGAAAGGAGGUCUGUGAUGAUGACCAGUUUAUAACCCAAUGUACAAGUUCCUCUCCAUAAAAAUCUCUUACGCCAAGUGACUCCCUUGUACAAGGUCGAGAACUUUCAAUCGACAAACUACUCCCCUCUACUAAGAAGAACAUUUUAUCAAGUGGAUGAGUCUCUUGUAUAAUAUAACUGUCACUGCUAUAGUUGGACUUGGAGAGAUGUCUAGAGAUCUCUUUCAACACUUGACUGUCCAUUCUUUGGAAUAUUGGUACCUGGAAUUAGACAUAUAUGUAUAUUAUCAACUGCAUGUUAAUGUGAUAUAUUGAUAUUAAGUAAUUAUAAGUAAUUAAGUAAUUAGAAAUUAACUUACUUUUCUUAGCAGCUUUACCAGGUCACUGGUCAAAAGCUCCCACUUAGCCUCCUUUAGAGGGGGGUUCCUCUUGCGAAAAUGUUGCCUGAAUUUAGAGCCUACAGUCUCCAUGUCACUUGCCGUAAGAACAAGGACCUCAACAGUUUCAGUGAAGGCUCUGACGGAUUCAUUUGAUCUGCCUGGAAAGGAUGUCCAUGCUGGCCAAGUUAGAAGUUUUUCACCGUAUACUUGCCCUGCACCUAGUUCCAAGGGAUCACCCGAAUAAUCUUUCAUUUCAAUUUUUACAAAUCCGUCCACGAUGAAGAUCAUCUUUUCUAGUGGUUUAUCCUCUUGGAUAAUGAUAUCAUUCUUAUUGUACUUCUCGGGGUUAAGAUGGACAGAGAUUUCUCUCAAUACUUUUUCAUCCAUAUUUUGAAGCAAUGGCAUCUAUAACAACAUAAUAUAUAGUCGAUCACUAUUAACAGAGAAAUUAAGAGAUCUCUAUAUAUAUUUAUAGUGAAUGAAUAUAGAAAUUUCAAUGGAGAAGAUCCAAACGUACGUCAAGCAUAUUCUUACCCUCUUUAGCCUAUUCAACGGCAUACAGCUUCUCAUCUCCUUCUGAUGUGCCAAUGGAAGAAUAGAGAAGAUAUUCUCUGUAUCAACAUCUCUUUCUUCUUCUAGCUCUACUUGGACCCUUUUCAUGAUAUAUGGUUUUCUGCUCAAAGGGAUGCCAUUGUUAGAUAACCAACGUUCUACUGCUUCCCCUUUCUCUUCCAUCUUCUUAUGAAUUUUCAUAUUCCAUCUGUGUGUCGCCCUCCUUGAAGUCUCCAACUGCAUAUAUGUCUAUUCCAUGCAACAACAAUUAAUUAGUUUGGUUUGAUAUAUAGGUUUACUAAGUAUUUCGUAUUGGCACUCUAUAAUGCACUACAUUGGUAUACAUCUAGUUUUCGACUUUUUCGUAUGUCUACGUACACGUACAAUCAUGAGCAAAGGUUAAAAAAAAUUCAAUAAAACCCCACGAGGGGGAUUGUAUGAAUCUAAAACCAUUUUUGAGAGAUUGUUUUUUUUUUUUUUCUUUUCUAAACAUCAGUUGAGUCACUUGAGUGAUUAAUUAGUUAGCUAUAAAUGUCAGGCUCAAAUGAGAAAACGAAACAAGAAAUCAAGUGGAACGCUUUUCUUGAAGGGAUUUUGGAGAAGAUAAAAAAUAACUAGGGACCGACCUGUAAAUUUCCAAUGAGAUAUAUAAAUAGUAGCAACCCAAUUAUAGAAAUAGAAGCCGCAAAGAGGUUUUCCCAUGUAUUGACACUGGUCUGGAGGUUCGAUCCAAGCGAACUGCAAAAUGAGAUCGAGCAAUUGAAAUAUAUAUUUGAGAUACAAAACUCUAGGGCUAAGUAUAAUAUUAUUAAUGGUCAAAUAUCAUUUUGUCUAAUGACAUAAGUCACUUCUUAUAAGUGAGAAAUUGAGAGUUUAACACUCAAAAUAGACUUAAUUAGACUCAUUGUAGUAUUGAGUUGUUUAACUGAUAAAAAAAUAUAUAUAAUACUAAUGCAUAUUUCUUUUAUUCACACACCUUUUUAUUUGUAAAAAAAAAAUAACUUCUUAAAAAUUGAAGCAAAACAAAUCUAAGUAAAGGAUUCAGGCCUGAUAAGAAAAUAUGCGUAUAUGCUUUUUAUUGCAUGUUUGUGUGUAUUUGAAAUUUAAAUUGAGAAGUGAGGGAAUGAUUUAAGUAUAUGAGAAUUUAUGUGUUUACUUACACAUGAUAGUAUAUGAAUGAGUAUGGGUCUCACCUCCUGAUGAAGAGAUUGACUUAACUCAGAUUUGAAACCAAAAAUGGGAGGUGUGUUUAGGAAUCAAAGCCUCAGGAAACAAUAUUUUUUAUCCAAAGUACUCUUAUGUAAAUAAGAUCAGUUGUAAUUAAUUUCUUUCAUAUUCUAAUUUAAUAGGGUAAGUAAUUAAACAACUCAAUGUAAAUGAAAAAAAAAAACUCAAUGUAAGUGAAAUCUCCAGAUACGAUUUUAUUUUGUAUUGUAAUAAUUAUACGCCAAAAGAAAUGCAUAUUUCAUAGCUAGGAGCAACAACAAUAUUGAUAUUAUGUCCAUAGAAGAAGAAAAAAACAAGUAUUGGCGGCCUCACAUAGAUACAAACCUCAAAUUUCGCAAACCCCACCAAAAACAAUUUGAGAGCUUCUCUGAAUAAUUAGUUGAAGCUAGUAUACCAAGCUGAAGGAUACUGACAUAUAUGCCAAAAUCAAAGAACUUUCCAUUAGGGGAAUGUCUAGAGCAAGCCUCAUCUAGAAAUGCGAUAUUUCUCAGCGUAUGGUGAUCACGACAGUCCAAGUUAUUAGGGUCGCAUCCAUUUUCAAUUCGACAACCAUACCGCCAGCAAGUUGUGACUCGUUCAACAGCAAAGAAGUACCAAAAUGCUCCGAUUAUCUAUGAGAUGACAAACAUGACUUACGAUCAAAAAGACUUAAUUUGAAGUAUUCUAAUUUUACCUAAACAACUAUUAGUAAGAAUUAGAUUCAAACUUACAUGACUGGCAAGGAUGUAUAGAAAAAAAUUCAAUAGACCUUUAAGCCAGAUUGGAAUCUCUUCUUUGGAAGACUUCUUGGAUUCUUGGCACGACAGGUAAAUGCGAAAAACUCUUGGUACAUAUUGUACUACCACAAGAAAAUUCAUAAGUUUCCUUGUAGUUAAAGAUCCCGAGCCCUUCAUUUUGCACAUAAAGUUGAGAAUGACGACCUGGACAGUUAAUUAUUUUAGUCUUGUAAUUAACGUAAAAGUAAGAAUACACACACACACACAUACAUAUAAAAGGGUAUGCACUUCUUUAGCUAUUAUUACCUGUGGAAUGGGAAGAACAGCCAGAAUAUCAAUCAGCACUUCUUUUGCUGUAUUAAUAUUACUGGAGAAACUUUCCGAACGUACAGCUGAACAGUUCUUAUAGCUAUAUACUUGUAAAAAGAUGUUCAACAAAUAACAUAUAUCUGUCAACGAUCUCAGUAAAAGAGCUGCUAUCUUCAAGUUGUUGUCCAACCUCAGACACUUCAUGUCCUCGUUAAUUAUAGGGAUGUAAAGGAACAAAGGAUCCAGC